rnacentral:rRNA from 1 species
AUUGAACGCUGGCGGCAUGCUUUACACAUGCAAGUCGAACGGUAACAGGUUAAGCUGACGAGUGGCGAACGGGUGAGUAAUGCAUCGGAACGUGCCCAAUCGUGGGGGAUAACGCAGCGAAAGCUGCGCUAAUACCGCAUACGAUCUGAGGAUGUAAGCGGGGGACCGUAAGGCCUCGCGCGAUCGGAGCGGACGAUGUCAGAUUAGGUAGUUGGUGGGGUAAAGGCCCACCAAGCCGACGAUCUGUAGCUGGUCUGAGAGGACGACCAGCCACACUGGGACUGAGACACGGCCCAGACUCCUACGGGAGGCAGCAGUGGGGAAUUUUGGACAAUGGGCGAAAGCCUGAUCCAGCAAUGCCGCGUGCAGGAAGAAGGCCUUCGGGUUGUAAACUGCUUUUGUACGGAGCGAAAAGGUCCUUUCUAAUACAAGGGGCUCAUGACGGUACCGUAAGAAUAAGCACCGGCUAACUACGUGCCAGCCGCCGCAGUAA